rnacentral:rRNA from 1 species
GACGAACGCUGGCGGCGUGCCUAAUACAUGCAAGUCGAACGCAGAAGGAGGAGCUUGCUUCUCCGGAUGAGUGGCGAACGGGUGAGUAACGCGUAGGUAACCUGCCCGGUAGCGGGGGAUAACUCUUGGAAACGAUAGCUAAUACCGCAUAACAGCAGAUGUUGCAUGACAUUCGCUAGAAAGUUGCAAUUGUAUCGCUACCAGAUGGACCUGCGUUGUAUUAGCUUGUUGGUGAGGUAACGGCCCACCAAGGCGAAGACACAUAGUCGGCCUGAGAAGGGGGAUGGCCCACCUGGGACUGAGACCAGGCCCCAGCUCCCUCCGGGAGGCGCCAGAGGGCAACUUCGGGCAUGGGCGGAAGGCUGACCGAAGAACGCCGGGGGGGGGGAGAAGGGUCUCGGGUCCGAAAGCUCCGUUGUUAGGGAAGAAAGAGUUUGGGAGUGAAAAGUUCACAUUGUGACGGUACCUUAUCAGAAAGCGACGGCUAACUACGUG